CCCGGCAGCGGCCGGUCCGGGCAGGACGGGAAGGGAACGGGGAAAGCCUGUGGAAGUACAGGCACUCCUGACGCAUUUCGCAGCCAGGGCCAUCGGGAACUCCGCGGCUGUCGCCAAGAGCUCGCUCCCAUUAAACCGGAAGCAGCAAGCCAGGAAGCUUAUCAUCUGGGCACAAAUGUCACAGCUACGGAGCUAAAACAGCAGCAGCAAUGUGAGCACUGACAGCCAUUUACCAAACAGAUGACUAACCAUGGGGAAAUGCAAUCUCAUCAGCCAUUGCUACACGAGAGCUUUGAUCAUGACAAACUGAAUCCAGUUGGAUCAGCAGAAAGAAAUAAGUCAUUAAUGAAUUUAAAUCUUGAGGAAAUUCUUCUGGCUUCAAAGCAGGAAAUUAUGAAAGCACUCCAACUCCUGUGGUGGACUGGCUGUAACCAGCCACUGAGAAGAAAGGUCAGACUUACACUGACUUACCUCCUGGGGGAAAAAAGGUGAAAUAAGAAAAUAUAAAACCUGCUCAAGUUGCUGGAGAGGGUCAGCUUGAUUCCAUUUUCUGUGUAUGUGCUCUCCAGUGACCUGGCAUGACCCUUCUCACUGAAAUGGAUCGGGACACUUGGAUGGAGACUCUGUCCAUUGUUAUUCUAUUCCCUGAAAACUUAUUCUGCCAGACUUCAGAUGAACCUCAAACAAGUUGGGAUCUCUGUUACCAGUAACUGUACCACAUCAGAGGAGUCGCAAUAUCCUUUUUUACUCCAGUAAAGACCAACUUCAGCCGAAGGUUGACAAAUACCCGUAUUGGGCAAUUUCCUCACUGCAUCACCAUGUCAUGAAUUACCAAAUAAAAUUUCUAUACUGGGAACGAGACCUUUCUGCAGGUUUGAGGCAGACGCCCUCAGGGGGCAAGGCGCCGUUUGCUCGGGGAAAGGGAAGGAGGGCUGGCCGGGACGGCGGGGCCGUCAGUGCCACCAGCACCGCGCCCCUGUCCUGUGGCUGCCCGCUGAAAUGAGAAGGAGCCUCUUGCGGGGCCACAGAGGUGUCUGAGGGCUUUUACCCCGGCGGGGCUGGCGAGAAGAGCGCUGGGGCUGGGUCAGCGAGGUCCGACACCCUCAGAGCCUGGCGGGGGCGGCUGUGCCCUCACGCCCUCGCCUCGACGCCGCGCGGGGCUGAGGGCUGAGGGGGCGAGGGGAGGGAGCGCGGCCCUUCAAGGGAGCCCUUCAGCCUUCCGCGGGCCGCCGGAGCCGGGACACGCCAAGCAAUGUCUGGAAAAUAUGUCCUGUGGAAAGUGGCCGAGGGAGCUGGGUUUGUUUAGCCCCGAUGAGGCUCCGGGUGGACCUCAUCACUCUCUACAACUGCCUGAAAGGAGGCUGUAGUUGGCUGGGGCCGGUCUCUUCGCUGUGCUCGGAGUGAGGGGACCAGAGGAAAUGGCUUUAAGCUGAGACGGCGGCUGUUCGGGUUCGUCAGGCAAUGGAAUAUGUUGCCCAGGCCGGUGGUGGCGGGACUACCUCUGGUGGUGUAUAAGAGGAAGAGGCGUCUGGAUGUGGUGCUGGUUCAUGUGGUUUAGAGGUGAUUCUGAUGGUGCUGGAUUGACGGUUCGACGGGAUGCUAUUAAAGAUCUCUUCCAACCUCGCUGAUUUCACGAUCCCAUGCCUCUAUGAUUCUCCGACUCCGCGACUGUCUUCUGCGAUUCCAUUCUCCACCUCGCGGCGCGGGGCGGGACCCACCGGGGCUGUCACGGAAAGGGAGGGAAGGGCCGCGGGCGCCCCGCCCGUCAGCUGUCGCUGCCCGGGCCCCGAUUGGCGCCGCGCGGCGCCGCCCGGCCCCCGCUAUAAGGCGGAGGCGCGGGCGGGGAAGGAGCUGCCGCGGCCGCGGCGAGGCUGGGGAAGAGCGAGAAGGAAGACUUGCCAGACAAGAUCCAAAACCGGUGUGACCUUUGCCUUUGUAAUAAGGUGACUCAGAAAUUCUGUGCAUAGAGGACUCCUAGCCAGAGAUGCUUGGUGCAGGAGUUUGAAGAUGCAUCAAGACUGGCAGUGAGGACAGAAAAAUCUCCUGAAGAAGAGUACAGGCUGAACUCUUGGCCAUGUCCAUCACGGAUCACAGCCCCACCACCGGCGUGGUGACUGUCAUCGUUAUCCUGAUCGCCAUUGCGGCUCUGGGAGCCCUCAUUCUGGGCUGCUGGUGCUACCUGCGGCUGCAGAGGCUCAGCCAGUCUGAGGAUGAGGAAAGCAUUGUGGGUGAGGGAGAAACCAAAGAGCCCUUUCUACUGGUGCAGUACUCUGCUAAAGGACCCUGUGUGGAGAGGAAAGCUAAGCUAACUCCAAAUGGCCCGGAAGUACACAGCUAACUCAGAGCAACACCUGCAGAUGGGCUCUGCUCAUGGUGUGUAACCAGCAGAAGCAUCUCCAUACUGUGAAGAACCUGGUCACGUGCACUCUUCAGAAAACACCCUGAUGAGAAUUAAAUAAGCUUUGUUUGCAACCGCAUGCACUGAGAAGUUGCACUUUGCAUCAGUGUAUCCACUUUGUAUCCCAAUUCCUCUAUGGAAGGAGCUGACUCAUAGUGUAAUGUCCAUUGCUGGCAAUGGGCACAGGGAUAUACUGGUGUGAAGAGACUACUACUGUUUUUUGUUACUUGAAUAUUUAGCUGAGCCUAUUUUGAUGGAGCUACUACUGCAAUGUGGACUACUUUACAACUGUGAACUGUAAAUAGGCUGCCAGAAACUUCUUGCUUUGUGUUCUGUAACAUACAGGAAUAUGACACAACUGUGUAUAAUACACAGGGACUCCUGAGCCACUACCAUGGAUGGGACACCAGAGCUCCAAAACCAGAUCUGCAGUUAAAGCUUGCUUCUGCUACUACACUGAGUGUGCAGCCAGAACUCCUCCUUUGAACAGUUUAUUAGACUGAUGCAGAGAACUUCGUUUAAAAAGAAGGGAUAAACCUUCAGUAAUGCUGAAGGAGGAAACACAGGAGCAAGGAAGGAUAAGUUCCUUUAGCUGCAGCUAUGUUGUUUAAGCUUUUGGCUGCUAGAACUGAGUUCUUAUGUAGCUACUGCAAGGAAACUGCCAUUUUGAUGGGUUCCAACCUGGGAACUUAUGAUGGAUACUGAACCCUCAGGGAAAGUCCAGAUGGUUUCCAGGUGUUUGAAAUGGCAGUAGAGCAGGCUUCUGUCUUCCACAGGUCUGUGUGCUGAAACUGCAUAAGUGGUUACUUAGCAAAACAGGCUUAAGUGCAAGUAGUAUGAAUUCUUCCUAGAUCCCUGGUUUGUGUACUUAGGGUGUAUGUUAACAGCCUGUUACAAAAAGGUAUUUUGUAAUACAUACAGCCAGACAACUCUAGAAUUUCAGUUAAUGUAUCUUGUAUAUAACUUUUGAUGGAACUGUAUUACAAGAGGAGAAGUUUCAGUCUUUUCUACUGUUGACAGGGGUGUAAGGGUUAUUGCUGGUCAGUUUGUAGGAGUUUUUAGAGAGCAAUGGCCAAGUCCUUCCAGAUAACACAUUUCCUGCCCUGUGCUGGAGAUCAGCUGUAGGACUGGUAAAAAGAUUUUAAAUGGGAAGGUCUGAACUGCAAAGGUUUGGGGAGAGGAGAAGGAACAACACUGAGCAGCCAAUGGCAGCUUAUGUAUUCUAAUUCUUUGUGUAGGCACACAUGCUUAGAGGUUACUGGCCUGUUUUCUAUUACUUUUUACAUGAACUCCUUUGCUUAUUGAUGUUUUUAAACACUUAAUUGCCUAGCCUUAAUUCAGCUCCAGAGGAAGCAUUAUACUUGCUUCUUGUACUUACACUUAUGGAAUAACUUAAGGCCUAGCAAGCUUGCUUGAGAAUUUUAACAAUAUGCAAGACAAGAAUGGCCUAGAAAAACUGUCCCCUUCUUCUACACUAAGAUGUUGAAUUGCUUUGUUAGUGCUACAUUUGCCUUUUUAAAAUUGAAAGUUGUAAUGUGAAGCAAAAAAAUGCUGUUAGUAGUAAAAAGCUCCUGCUGUUGCCUCUUGAGUACAACAUUUUGGGUACAGCUGAUAAUGUUCUUACCCUGACACAUGCUUUUUAAAAUACUGCUCUCAAGAGACCUGCAUGUAUUGUCAGACCUGUACACUUAAAUAGCUGUAUUUGAGACCUCUUAAAAGCAAAGAAAAACAGGAUUAAUUCAGUAAGACUUCCUGGAGUUUUCAAUAGAGAACAGUUCACACAUGGCUCUUGCGGUAUCCAGUCAGAAUACCAGGAUACAAAAGUGAUACAAAGUGCUGAAGUUUGAGAACAGAACAGUUGUAACAAGAUGACUUUGUCCAUUCAAGUUUACUGAUUACACAAGUGAAGUAUCUAUUUUAAUUCAGCAAAGAGAAUGCAGUGUAAAGGGCAAAUUUCAGAAAUUAUGGAAAAGUAUAAAUCAAAGGUCUGAUUUCCCUUCUAGCAGCUUAAGAGAAAGCCAGUGAAAACUAACUGGUCUUUAGUCAGAGGUGCUGCAAACUGCUGCCCCUACAAACCAGUAUCUUUCAUUUAAAUGGGUAGGUGUUUGCAAGUUAGUGCAAUAGUAAAGUGCAGAAAGUGUUUUCCAUUCUCCUCUUCUCUUAAGAUGGGGGUAUCUAAUAAGUUGUUCAAGUAUACAAAAAUAUUCCAUUUGAUUUUUCUUUUUCUAGAUCAUGUGGGGGAAGUCUUUAUUUACAUUGAAUGUCAAUAAAAUUUGCAUAAAUACCUAC